GAUAAUAAAACAUUUGACAAUUGGAAUAUCUUUAUAAAUAAAACCCUCAUGUUAAAAAACAAUGUUUUAUAUAGGCUAUACAGUAUGGGAAAAAAUAUAUAUAAUAAAUGUUUUAGAUUGUUUUGUCCACACUAAUCUCGCUAUUUACAUCUCUGGAUAAUAUAAAUUUUCAAUGAAAAAAGACGCAACCAAUUUUGAUCCAAAACCAUAGUUAUUAUUAAAUUUUUCUGAAAAUAUUGCACAGACGGGUGUUGAUCGAUUCCGGGGACAUGGACACCGGGGAUCAGUACACGGCGCUCCUCAAAGACGUCCUGGCGGAUGAAAACGCGACGAUUGAGCACCUGAUAGUAACGCACUGGCAUCACGACCACAUCGGCGGCGUCAGGGCGGUCCAGAGUUUGCUGAAAGGCAAUCCGCAAUCGAGUCCCGCGACGGUCUGGAAGCUGCCUCGGUCUACUGGCGACCCUGGCGGCGAGCAGGACGAGGAAUCCGCCGGUGCUUGGAGCCCUUUGAAUGUAAAAACUCUUUUUAGCACACACAUGGUUUUAUCGGAAAGGCCUAUAUUAUAUGCCGAUUCAUGCAAUUUAAUCUAACAAAUCAGGUUCGAGGUUCAAUCGGCUACUGGCGCAGGUCGUAUUAUUGUGAUAUAUCACCGUAUAAUAUGAUCGCUGUUAAUUAUAAUCGAGGCGUUAAAAUCUACACUACUCUAAAUUACUUGGCAUACAUUUUUCAACUUACUCCACUGUAAUAAAAACGAACGAUCAGGACGAGCAGCUGAUAGAGAUAGAAGGAGCGAACCUGCGGAUAAAGCACACCCCGGGUCACACGACCGAUCACGCCUGUCUCGUGUUGGAGGAGGAGAACGCACUGUUCAGCGGCGACUGCAUCCUCGGCGAGACCUCGGCCGUCUUCGAGGACCUGCACGACUACCUCAUCUCGCUGAAAAAGAUCCUGCGGCAGGACGCUAAACUGAUAUAUCCGGGACACGGACCUGUGGUGCGAGAUCCUAGCACGAAGAUUCAGGCCUACAUCGAUCACAGACAGAAGAGGGAAGAACAGAUAGUGCAGUUUCUCGAGGGCAGAAGGGGUCGAGAGGCUUGCGGUGUCUGGGAUAUCGUCGACUCUAUGUACAAGGACACGCCGAAAAACCUCUGGCCAGCGUGCGCAUCGAAUGUGAACCAUCAUUUGGAGAAACUCUUGAAGGAGGGUCGAGUCAGUCACGAGGACGAUAAGUGGUUGAUAAUUUGAGAAAAGAAAUGCGUGCAAUAUAAAAGAAAACACAAUCGUCUAGAUUUUGUAAAAUAAAAAAAAAAGAAGAAAGCAUAUCGUGUAAAUAUUUGUAAAGUAAAUAAAGCAAUUGCGAGCGCUGCAAAAUGAAAGUUUUCUACGUAAAAUUCAGCAAAAACUUAUUUUUAUGAUUUCCAUUUUUUGUUACAAAAAUUGUAUGUUACACAUAAUAAUAGGUAUAAAAACAAAGAGGCCGUUGAAGACCACAAUAUUAUCUUACAAAAAGAAACUUAACAAAGCAAAAUCAUCGAUGAUCGUACAGUUUCGCUAGAAAAAAGAAAUCGUGUAGUAAAGAAUAAAAUCUACGGCUCAUUGA